rnacentral:lncRNA from 1 species
CCAACGACAUGGAUCAAGUGUAGGUAUGUAGCAUGGAAAUAACAUAAAGUGUGGUCAAUAGAAUGUCUAUUUCCAACUGGUUCUCUUUAUUGAGAUCACUCAUAAAUUGUAAGAGUACAAAAACUUUAAAACUGAAUAUCUGCAGAUAUAACUGAAUUUCAGAAUAUAAUGAACAAUACAUAAAUGUACAAUACAAAACUCCCACUAAAAUACAUAAUCCUUAUCUGAUUUGACACUCAUACAAGCAAUAUGCUCAUGAAAN